UUUAUACUGAUGCAUAUAACCAAACAAAACAUUAGCUAUUUGCUUUAUAUACAGUUAUUAGUUUGUAAAAAAUACAUUGAUAUGUAUGUGUGAUGUCUGUAUGUAUACGAUGUGAAUAUACUGAUAUGUGUGUAUGUGUAUGUGCAAAGUGCAUAACUGUAUAUAUACAAUGCAUCAAUAUAUACAUUUUUAUAUACAUUGACAUAUAUGACGAUAUAUACAUUACUUUUCAGUUUAUACUGUUAGUAACGUAUAUGUAUACUGAUUUAUAUGCUACACACACACUCACACUCACACUCUCCUUUACACUUACACUCACACACUCACUCACAUACACACGCACACACUCACACACACUCACUCACAUACACACACACACACACUGACACUGACACUGACACUGACACUGACACUCACACUCACUUGCACUCACACUCACACUCACACUCACACUCACACUCACACUCGCACUCACACUCACUCACACACACUCACACUCACACUCACAGAUAUGUAUAUUACACAUAUAUGCAUGUUGUGUAUGGACUGAUGUGUGCAUAUAUACGAUAUGUAUAUACGAAUAUGUUUAUACCUUUUUUUGCGAUCUUGAUCUUGAAAACUUGAUUUGCUUAAUGGUUCUUUCUUCUUUAAUAUAAUACUUCUUCUUUCAUGUAAAUAAGAAGUGAAUUUUCUGGAGCUUUACUUGUGGUUUGCAAGUUUAUUAUGUAACUUUUCUUGACACACACACUCUUGCUUCUUUUAUGCAAAUAUGGAGUGAAUUUUUGGGUUUACUUGUUGUUUCCAAUUUCAUUAAGUAACUUUUUCUUAACACACACGCACACACACACACACUCACACUCACACUCACACUCACACACACUCACACGUGCACACACACACUUACACUCACACACACUCACGCUCACACUCACACUCACUCACACACUGUCACAGUCACGGUCACAGUCAGAGUCACACACACUCGCACACUCACACAUUCGCACACACACGCACACACUCACACACACACUCACACUCAACUCACACUCACACUCACACUCAC
rnacentral:lncRNA from 1 species